AAGUGAUCCUCCUGUCCCAAAGUGCCAGGAUUAUAGGCGUGAACCAUUGCCCCCAGCCUGAACUUCAUGUGUCUUAAUGAACAAUUACCAGCUUUGGAUACUUUGGAGAAGGUAACCCAGUUUCCUGGAGAAACGGUUUCUGUGUGACCUCCAAGGACUGCAAAUUUGGCAACUCCAUCUAUGCCCUGACCUACGGCAUUGGCUUUGGCUUCUGGGUCAACACCACCUGUUGCCAAGGCAACUGCCAGGAGCCCACCCCUCUUGCAGCUCAUCUGGCCUCACACACCCUGAGUGAGAUCUUGUGUCCUACAUGUCCUGGGAGCUCCUUGGAGCCCUGCAAUUCCUCCUUCUACAUGCAGUGUCCCAGUGGGGAAACUGAGUGUGUCCAGCUGGACCUGACGUCUGAAGAAGGCGGCCGGAACGUGAGCGUACGCGGCUGCGGCUCCCGAGACCUGUGCAGCGCCCCGGACUGGACCCACGGGCUCUCGGUGCUCCCGAGACAUCGGCUGUCCAGCCACUGCAGCCCCGGCCGCCGCGCCGUCCUAGAGUCCCACUGCUGCUCAGGCGCCGCGCCCGGCCUCCGCCUCACCCUGCCGGUUCUGGCGGUAGUCCUGGCGACCGCGACGCUGUCCUAAGGAAUCCCGCCUGGACCACCCUGCCGUCCAGGGGACCCCCCUCCUCCUGCUUGUUCGGCACGUUGCUAGAUGGUGCCCUGGCUCCCCUCUGCUGGGGCAAUGCGCGGACCUGGAAGCUUCUGGUGAGGAACUCAGGAAGUAGGGGUGAUCUUCCUCCCUCAGACUAGCGCUUCCCAAAGCCAGACCUUUUGCUCCAGACUCAGGGCUUACUCAAGGCUAAGUCCUCUUUCCUCCCACCAGGGCCCCAAAGGCCAUGCCUCCAUCAGCCUAGGGUGUGUCUUCCCCCCUCAGACUAAGGCCACUCACCCCCUGCUGAGAUCAGACCUCUGCUUAGCUGGGGGGGGGGGGCGCUGUACCUCCCCCCUCUGAUUAGCACUUUCCCCAAGGCCAAACCUCCCCUCUCAGAAGAGGGCUGUUCUUCCUCAGGUUAGAGACGUCAGGGACAUCCCCAUAGCUGCACAUUCUUUCCUUUAGAUCAGGGGGCCUCAAAGACUCAGCCUCCUUCUUCAAACGAGGGGGUCCCCAACAUCCGGCUGCUCCCGGACACCAGGGAUGUGUCUCUUCUCCCACACACUGACAAGCCACUUCUCCUCUUUCGUUCUCCCUCUUUGGGGUCUAGCAAAAUCCUGGGCAGCCAAGGUGGGGCUUGAGGAUCCAAUACACCCGCUUCCAAGGUUUUCAGGGCAGCCUCCUCCACCCCUACCGUGGGCCAAGACCCGGCAGGGGGCUUGGGUGGGGUGAAGAGCCCCUCUUCUGUGUGGGCUCAGUCUCCCAGCUGUAACCAGAUCUGAAUGAAUCACAUGUCACAAUGCCAA